rnacentral:rRNA from 1 species
GCCCAGACUCCUACGGGAGGCAGCAGUGGGGAAUAUUGCACAAUGGGGGAAACCCCGAUGCAGCGACGCCGCGUGAAGGAUGAAGUAUUUCGGUAUGUAAACUUCUAUCAGCAGGGAAGAAAAUGACGGUACCUGACUAAGAAGCCCCGGCUAACUACGUGCCAGCAGCCGCGGUAAUACGUAGGGGGCAAGCGUUAUCCGGAUUUACUGGGUGUAAAGGGAGCGUAGACGGCAUGGCAAGUCUGAUGUGAAAACCCGGGGCUCAACCCCGGGACUGCAUUGGAAACUGUCAGGCUAGAGUGUCGGAGAGGCAAGUGGAAUUCCUAGUGUAGCGGUGAAAUGCGUAGAUAUUAGGAAGAACACCAGUGGCGAAGGCGGCUUUCUGGACUGAAACUGACGCUGAGGCACGAAAGCGUGGGGAGCGAACAGGAUUAGAUACCCGAGUA